rnacentral:rRNA from 1 species
ACACUCCUGCGGGAGGCAGCAGUGGGGAAUUUUGGACAAUGGGCGAAAGCCUGAUCCAGCAAUGCCGCGUGAGUGAAGAAGGCCUUCGGGUUGUAAAGCUCUUUUGUCAGGGAAGAAACGGUGAGAGCUAAUAUCUCUUGCUAAUGACGGUACCUGAAGAAUAAGCACCGGCUAACUACGUGCCAGCAGCCGCGGUAAUACGUAGGGUGCAAGCGUUAAUCGGAAUUACUGGGCGUAAAGCGUGCGCCGGCGGUUUUGUAAGUCUGAUGUGAAAUCCCCGGGCUCAACCUGGGAAUUGCAUUGGAGACUGCAAGGCUAGAAUCUGGCAGAGGGGGGUAGAAUUCCACGUGUAGCAGUGAAAUGCGUAGAUAUGUGGAGGAACACCGAUGGCGAAGGCAGCCCCCUGGGUCAAGAUUGACGCUCAUGCACGAAAGCGUGGGGAGCAAACAGGAUUAGAAACCCCUGUAGUCCCAUG